GAUGAACGCUGGCGGCGUGCCUAAUACAUGCAAGUCGAGCGAACAGAUGAGGAGCUUGCUCCUCUGACGUUAGCGGCGGACGGGUGAGUAACACGUGGAUAACCUACCUAUAAGACUGGGAUAACUUCGGGAAACCGGAGCUAAUACCGGAUAAUAUAUUGAACCGCAUGGUUCAAUAGUGAAAGACGGUUUUGCUGUCACUUAUAGAUGUAUCCGCGCCGCAUUAGCUAGUUGGUAAGGUAACGGCUUACCAAGGCAACGAUGCGUAGCCGACCUGAGAGGGUGAUCGGCCACACUGGAACUGAGACACGGUCCAGACUCCUAAGGGAGGCAGCAGUAGGGAAUCUUCCGCAAUGGGCGAAAGCCUGACGGAGCAACGCCGCGUGAGUCAUGAAGGUCUUCGGAUCGUAAAACUCUGUUAUUCGGGAAGAACAACUGUGUAAGUAAAUAUGCACGUCUUGACGGUACCUAAUCAGAAAGCCACGGCUAACUCCGUG
rnacentral:rRNA from 1 species